CGCUACUCCUGAUGGAAGUGGCAUCCUUUUUUAUUUGGUCACUGAGCGUAGUCGAAGUGAUCAAAUAAAAAAGAUAUAACGGACAGCAGGAACUAAC
rnacentral:sRNA from 1 species